rnacentral:rRNA from 1 species
AUUGAACGCUGGCGGCAGGCCUAACACAUGCAAGUCGAACGGUAACAGGAAGAAGCUUGCUUCUUUGCUGAUGAGUGGCGGACGGGUGAGUAAUGUCUGGGAAACUGCCUGAUGGAGGGGGAUAACUACUGGAAACGGUAGCUAAUACCACAUAACGUCGCAAGACCAAAAAGGGGGACCUUCGGGCCUCUUGCCAUCGGAUGUGCCCAGAUGGGAUUAGCUAGUAGGUGGGGUAACGGCUCACCUAGGCGACGAUCCCUAGCUGGUCUGAGAGGAUGACCAGCCACACUGGAACUGAGACACGGUCCAGACUCCUACGGGAGGCAGCAGUGGGGAAUAUUGCACAAUGGGCGCAAGCCUGAUGCAGCCAUGCCGCGUGUAUGAAGAAGGCCUUCGGGUUGUAAAGUACUUUCAGCGGGGAGGAAGGGAGUAAAGUUAAUACCUUUGCUCAUUGACGUUACCCGCAGAAGAAGCACCGGCUAACUCCGUG